rnacentral:rRNA from 1 species
UACGUAGGGGGCAAGCGUUAUCCGGAUUCACUGGGUGUAAAGGGGGCGCAGACGGCAGCGCAAGUCUGGAGUGAAAUGCCGGGGCCCAACCCCGGAACUGCUUUGGAAACUGUGCAGCUCGAGUGCAGGAGAGGUAAGCGGAAUUCCUAGUGUAGCGGUGAAAUGCGUAGAUAUUAGGAGGAACACCAGUGGCGAAGGCGGCUUACUGGACUGUAACUGACGUUGAGGCUCGAAAGCGUGGGGAGCAAACAGG